UCCGGUUGAUCCUGGCGGAGGUUACUGCUAUCGAGGUUCGACUAAGCCAUGCGAGUCGAAUGUAGCAAUACAUGGCGAACUGCUCAGUAACACGUGGACAACCUGCCCUUAGGUUGGGUAUAAACCCGGGAAACUGGGUAUAAUACCCGAUAGGUCUCGAUUGCUGGAAUGCAUCGAGAUUUAAAGCUCCGGCGCCUAAGGAUGGGUCUGCGGCCUAUCAGGUAGUAGUGGGUGUAGCGUACCUACUAGCCUACGACGGGUACGGGUUGUGAGAGCAAGAGCCCGGAGAUGGAUUCUGAGACACGAAUCCAGGCCCUACGGGGUGCAGCAGGCGCGAAAACUUUACAAUGCUGGCAACAGCGAUAAGGGAACCUCGAGUGCCAGGUUACAAAUCUGGCUGUCGAGAUGCCUAAAAAGCAUUUCAUAGCAAGGGCCGGGCAAGACCGGUGCCAGCCGCCGCGGUAACACCGGCGGCUCGAGUGGUAACCGUUAUUAUUGGG
rnacentral:rRNA from 1 species